GUGCGGGAUGUUUUAAUCACAGAGGUGUCGCCUUCCUGGCGCUCGCCAAGGUCCCCACGCACCCGGAACAGCCCCCAUCUAAUCAGCCGUGAAGAAAUAAGCGCAGCAAGACACUCUAGGAAAGUCGAUUUCCAAGAGAGGAAUCUUCCAUUCUUCCUCCCAGAGGAUGUAAGCUGAUCUACCAUCAUUCUGGCUGCUGGGCAGGGAAAGUGAGUGAGGCGUUCGCCACCCACCUCCAGAUUGCAAGCUCCAGGAAGGCUGAGUUUGUGCUGCAUUUUAUUCACCGUUGUAUCCCCAGCACCCAGUACAGUGCUUGCCAGUUGCAGGCAAUCAGUGAAUGUCCUUUCAACGUAUGUGUUCGAUUGUAAGCAUCGAUCUCCUUAGGUAUCCACCCAAGAUAAAUGAAAACAUAUGUCCACACAAAGACUUGCAUGUAAAUGUUCAUAGCACCGUUAUUCAUAAUAGCCCCAAAGUGGAAACAAUCCAAAUGUCCAUUAGUUGGCGAGUGGAUAAGUAUUGUAAAAAGACGGCAUUAUCCAUACAAUGGAGGACUCUGCAGUGAUAAAAAGGAAUAAACAGAUAAUAUAUUCUACAACGUGGAUGAACCACAAAGAUGUUGCAUUAAGUGAAAUAAGCCAGACACAAAUGACUGCAUAUUGCACUGUUCUGUAAGGAUGAAAUUUCUAGAAAAGGCAAAACUAUAAAGAAGAAAGCAGAUCAAUGGUUGCCUGGGCCUGGGAGUGGGAGUGGGGAGUGACUGCAGACAGGAAGAAGGGAGCUCCUGGGGGAGGUGGAAAUUUUCUAAAACUGGAUUGUGGUAAAGGUCGCACCACUGUAUAAAUUUACUAAAAAUCAUUAAACUGUACACUUGCAGUAGGUGUGGGGUACAAAUUAUCUUCAAUAAAGCUGUUAAAAAUGUUUAAAAAAUCAGUCUCCUUACUUAGUCAUUUUAUCCCAUCUUACGUUCUGGGAAUACUAUUUCUGUGGGACAUUGUGCCAGAGACUGCUAAGUGAGUCUCUCAACUCUUUAGUGACAGAAUCUCAAUUUUUUAAAUUGAAUUAUAGUUGA